UUGGUCAAAAUUACUAAUACAUUUAAUUGUUGCAUAUAAAAAUAAAAUAACCUUUAUUUUGCGCAACAAUACUUUUUGGGUUAAACUACAAAUAAAUUGAAACAAUGGAGUCAUCUAUAUAUACAUUUUGGCAGCCAUUUUAGCAAAUAAAUCCUACAGUUGGACUUAUUUACAACCCAAUGCCAUUAGCAUUAAAAGUUUUUUCCAAAAUAAUUAAUUUUAC
rnacentral:sRNA from 1 species